AUGGCCGCCGGCGGCGCUUCCCCUUCCCCGGCGGCGGCCGCCCCCGCGGCCGUCCAGGUGCGCUGCGCCGGCUGCCGCGGCGUCCUCGCCGUGGCCCCCGGCAUGACCGAGUUCAUCUGCCCCAAAUGCCGCAUGGCGCAGCGCCUUCCCCCCGAGCUCAUGCCCUCCUCCUCCCCGCCCAAGGCGUCCCCUACACCGCCUCCGCCCCAGCCACCUCCCCUUCCUCCUCAGCCUCACUCUCAGCCCGCGCCUCCCCCUCCGCCUCUCCCUGCUGCCUCCCGCCGCUCCGGGCCGCGGGCGCAGGGCGUGGACCCCACCAAGAUCCAGCUGCCCUGCGCGCGCUGCAAGGCUAUCCUCAACGUGCCGCACGGCCUCGCCCGCUUCCGCUGCCCGCAGUGCGACGUCGACCUCGCCGUCGACAUCUCCAAGCUCCAGCAUUUCCUUGCCGCCGCCGCCCCUGGGCCGGGCUUCGUUCCUCCACCGCCUCCGCCCGCGCCCCCAGUCCCAAUGCCGCACAUGCCCUUCCUGCCGAUGAUGCCGCCACCGCGCAUGCCGAUGGCCCCAAUGGCCCCGCCCCCCGAGCCGCCGGAGGAGAUCAACGAGGUUGCGUUUGACGUUGAGCGCGAGGAAGAGGAAGGUGACACUGUUGGUGAAACUUUCAUGGACUAUAGGCCUCCUAAGCUAUCUCUUGGUCUUCCUCAUCCGGACCCUGUGGUAGAGACUUCAUCUUUAUCAGCGGUGCAACCUCCUGAACCUACUUACAACCUGGCUAUUAUGGAUGAAUUGGAUGAGACCAGGGCAUUGUCAUGCUUACAGAUUGAGACAAUAGUGUAUGCUUGUCAGAGGCAUCUUCACCAUCUCCCUACUGGUGCUAGAGCAGGUUUCUUCAUUGGUGAUGGAGCCGGUGUUGGUAAAGGGCGUACAAUUGCUGGGCUGAUCUGGGAGAAUUGGCAGCAGGGGAGGCAUAAGGCGUUGUGGAUUUCCAUUGGUUCAGACUUGAAAUAUGAUGCCCGCAGAGAUUUGGAUGAUGUUGGUGCAAAAUGUGUGCAAGUGCACGCAUUGAACAAGCUGCCAUAUUCUAAGUUAGACUCGAAGGCCACUGGGAUCACAGACGGAGUUGUUUUCAUAACUUAUAGCAGUUUAAUAGCAUCCUCUGAGAAAGGGUAUUCACGUUUGCGGCAGCUGGUAGAGUGGUGUGGAUCAGAGUUCGAUGGUCUUGUGGUGUUUGAUGAGUGCCACAAGGCUAAAAAUUUGAUUCCUGAGGCAGGAGGUCAGCCCACUCGCACUGGUAAAUCAGUUCUUGAGAUCCAGGAAAUGUUACCUGAAGCUCGGGUGGUUUACUGCUCAGCAACUGGUGCAUCAGAGCCUCGGAAUUUAGGGUACAUGGUCCGGCUUGGUCUCUGGGGGGACGGAACAUCAUUUCAGAGUUUUCAUCAAUUUCUAGGUGCUCUUGAGAAAGGUGGUGUGGGUGCCCUUGAACUUGUUGCUAUGGACAUGAAAGCUAGGGGCAUGUAUGUUUGCCGCACACUUAGUUAUAAGGGUGUUGAUUUUGAUGUUGUGGAGGCACCUCUGGAGGACAGAAUGAUGAAUAUGUACAGAAAGGCAGCUGAAUUUUGGGCUGAGUUGCGUGUUGAGCUCCUAUCGGCAAGCGAGUACUAUGCAGAAGACAAGGGCAAUUCAGCUCAGAUAUGGCGGUUAUACUGGGCCAGCCAUCAGCGUUUCUUUAGGCAUAUGUGUAUGUCUGCAAAGGUACCUGCUGUUGUGAGGUUGGUGAAGGAAGCCUUAGCAGAAGAAAGAUGUGUGGUGGUUGGUCUCCAGAGCACUGGUGAAGCUCGAACAGAGGAAGCUAUCACAAAAUAUGGUGUUGAAAUGGAGGACUUUAUUUCUGGCCCUAGAGAGUUGCUUCUUAAGCUGGUAGAAGAUAACUAUCCCUUGCCUCCAAAACCUGAUUGUUCUCAGCAAGGUGAAGAAAAGGUUACGGAGGUCCAGCGUAAGCGGCAUUAUGGACCCGAUGUAUCCUUAAAAGGACGAGUUAGGAAACUCGCAAAAAUGGAAGAUAGUGAUGAUGGAAUGGAUACACACUCUCCAUUGGAGUCAGACCAUGAAUUAACAGAUUCUGAAGAGGAAUUGCAUAUGUGUCAGAUCUGCAAGACCGAGGAGGAGAAGAGCCUGUUGCUUCAUUGUUCCAAUUGUGCUACAAGUGUUCACCCUGGCUGUCCAAUUCCACCAUGGACUGGAACGUUGGCAGAUGAUUGGUUAUGUUAUGCAUGCAAGGAGAUAAUAGAAGCCUAUUUUAAAGAGAGAGAUGCUUACAUGGCUGAACUAUCAAAGAGAUAUGACAAUGCAGUGGACAGGAAGUCAAAGAUUUUAGAAAUCAUCCGCGCUUUAGAUUUGCCUAAUAAUCCUCUAGAUGAUAUCAUUGAUCAGCUAGGUGGUCCAGACAAUGUUGCAGAAAUAACUGGAAGGCGUGGCAUGCUAAUAAGAGCAUCAGAUGGAAAAGGUGUUGUUUACCAGGCGCGGAACACGAAAGAAGUUGCAUUGGACAUGAUCAAUAUGCAUGAAAAGCAGCUAUUCAUGGACGGAGAAAAGUUCAUCGCAAUAAUAUCGGAAGCAGGAUCAGCUGGUGUUUCCUUACAUGCUGAUCGAAGGGUAAAAAAUCAGAGAAGAAGAGUACACAUAACACUUGAACUUCCUUGGAGUGCAGACCGUGCAACCCAGCAGUUUGGGAGAACACAUCGUUCUAAUCAAACUUCUGCACCUGUAUAUAGGAUUCUUUUUACCAACCUUGGUGGUGAAAAGCGAUUUGCAUCAAUUGUGGCAAAGCGACUAGAGUCUCUUGGAGCUUUAACACAAGGAGAUCGAAGAGCUGGACCAUCACUUACCCUGACAAUGAUGUAUAGGGGUAUAAUGGAACAGGAUGCAUUUCCAGUUGUGCCUUUGGGAUGCUCUGAGAAUCAAUCUAGUCUCCAAGAAUUCAUCACUAGAUCAAAAGCUGCAUUAGUGGCAGUUGGAAUUAUCAGGGAUGCUGUAAUCUGCAUUGGAAAACAUGGAGGAAAGCUUACUGGUAGGAUCGUUGAUUCUGAUAUGCAUGAUGUGGCCCGUUUCCUCAACCGUAUUCUGGGAUUAGCUCCAAACAUCCAGAAUAGGUUAUUUGAUCUCUUCACAAGCAUACUCGACUUAGUAAUUCAGAAUGCACGAAGUGAAGGACGGCUUGAUUCUGGUAUUGUUGAUAUUAAAGCAAAAAGGGUUGAAAUGAAAGAUCCGCCUAAGACAGUUCACGUUGAUAGCCUGUCUGGUGCUUCCACGGUGUUGUUCACUCUUACAAUUGACCGUGGAGUUACUUGGGAGUCAGCCAAGGCAAUGCUUGAAGAAAGGCAGAAAGAUGGUGCAUGUUCUUGUAAUGAUGGGUUUUACGAGUCCCGGAGAGAGUGGAUGGGCAGAAGGCAUUUCAUGCUAGCGUUUGAAGGCUCAGCGGAAGGAAUGUACAGAGUAACUCGCCCUGCCGUUGGGGAAGCUUCAAAGGAGAUGCCUUUGGCUGAACUAGAAGGGAAGUACAAGAAGGUCUCAUCGGCUGAUAAAACUGGGGAGGGCUGGCAGGAAGAAUAUGAUGUGUCGUCCAAGCAGUGCAUGCAUGGGCCCAAGUGCAGACUUGGAAGCGAUUGUACUGUGGGCAGAAGGUUACAGGAGAUUAAUGUUUUGGGUGGUCUAAUACUUCCUGUGUGGGGCGCGGUAGAAAAGGCCCUGAAUAAGCAGGCCCGACAGGCUCACAAGAGGAUACGUGUCGUCCGCCUGCAGACAACAGAUGACAACCAUCGGAUUGUUGGGCUUGUCAUUCCAAACACAGCAGUGGAGUCGGUGUUAGAAGGUCUGCAGUGGGUCCAGGACAUCGACGAAUGA
rnacentral:rRNA from 1 species